GAUUUGGCUGUUGUGGUGUGCAAAACUUCGUACCUUGCUUUUUGCCACACUGCAACACUUUACAGA
rfam:Egretta garzetta contig32415, whole genome shotgun sequence.